UACGAAGGUGGCUAGCGUUGUUCGAAAUCAUUGGGCUUAAAGGGCGCGUAGGCGGAACAGAAAGUGUUUUGUGAAAUCCCACGGCUUAACCGUGGAACGGCAGGGCAAACUACUGUUCUUGAGGCAAAUAGGGGUGCAUGGAACUCUUGGUGGAGCGGUGGAAUGCGUAGAUAUCAAGAGGAACGCCGAAGGUGAAGACAGUGCACUGGAUUUGUCCUGACGCUGAGGCGCGAAAGCGUGGGGAGCAAACAGG
rnacentral:rRNA from 1 species